GUGCACAUAGUUUAACCAAGACGCCGGGUCGUGACCCCGGAGACAGGGUAUAAACCCCCCUUGUUCACC
rnacentral:tRNA from 1 species